GCUCUUAGCAGCUGGGGCUGGCUGCUGUCCAGCCCCCUAGGGGAGCUGGGUGUGGGGCAGCGGCAGGUGAAGAAGCAGGGCCCCCGCCGUCACCGGCUCAAACUUUCCAGGCGCUCUGUCCCGCGCGCUGGGCUCCUGUUACCUUUGCGGGGCUGGCCUUUUAAUUUGUCUCUCCGCAGCCCUGCUAAUAAAUGGGACACAGCUGAAGAGCUUCCGAGAGACAAUAGCCACUCAGUUCCAUCCAAUUUGUCCCGGGCACCAUUUGUUAUGAGUCCUCUGAGCCCAUUAACCCUUGAACCUGGGCGAUGCUAUCUCCCCAGGGAUGGAUUACCUUUACUCCCGGACACGUGUUGGCUCAUUCCGCACUAUUCAUAAAAGCAGCCUCGUUGUGGACGUGGAGGGGAAGUUCCUCCCCCGCCGGGGUGCCGGUGCGGGAGAGCAGCGAGCCGGCUCUGGUGACAGCUGACAGGCACCGCAGCUACGUGGGGCUGGCACGGUGCUGAUGCUUCUUUGUGUGUCCUCUUGGGUCCUCCCCUCCCUGGGUCCAGGUAGCACGGCCCCAAGGGCAUCUCAGGCAUUCAGAGAGGGUGAAUGCCCAGGAGUACGCUCUCCGCAAGGUGAGGGUGCACACCUGGAAAAGGCUCUCCCCCAAACCUGCCCGUGCUGUUGCCCUGAUCAUGGACGUCCAUCCCUAGAACGGUGAGAAGCAAGGUCUGCCACCCCAGCCGCCCAGCACGAGGACCGUGGUGGCAAAGAGCAGGUAGGACAGAGGAGAGUCCUCGCAACGUCACAGAAGGUCCUCCAAUGCAGCUGUUGGUAUCGCUGGCCUGAGUGUGGUGUCCGAGACUGGCAAAUGGCAUUUUCUGCUAGGUUCACUGCACCUCAAAUAAAAUCAGGGUUCUGUGACAAGGGAAGAGAGGAAACGGCGUGUGCGGCCAGCUAGCCGUCUCCCCUCCAGGGUUCUAACGCACAGGGAGAGGUGA
rnacentral:lncRNA from 1 species